UCCGCUGUGAGGCGGAAUCUGAAGGAAGCCAGAUGUAGGGAGCAUACUAACCUGCGGGCAAAUCUCCGGUCUGACGAACAGAAAUCACAUAGGAGGUUAUGCAUGAGGGUAAGACUGCAAUAUAAACCGAAGCCCAGUAACUACACGGAAUCAUGCAUGAUAGAUGUGGCAGAUGGAUGGAUAGAAAGAAACGUGU
rfam:Eubacterium plexicaudatum ASF492 genomic scaffold acLZb-supercont1.21, whole genome shotgun sequence.